CCUACGGGCGGCUGCAGUGGGGAAUAUUGGACAAUGGGCGAAAGCCUGAUCCAGCCAUGCCGCGUGUGUGAAGAAGGCCUUCGGGUUGUAAAGCACUUUCAGUGGGGAAGAAAGCCUUGGGGCUAAUACCCUCGAGGAAGGACAUCACCCACAGAAGAAGCACCGGCUGAACUCCGUGCCAGCAGCCGCGGUAAUACGGAGGGUGCGAGCGUUAAUCGGAAUUACUGGGCGUAAAGCGCGCGUAGGCGGUCUGAUAAGCCGGUUGUGAAAGCCCCGGGCUCAACCUGGGAACGGCAUCCGGAACUGUCAGGCUAGAGUGAAGGAGAGGAAGGUAGAAUUCCCGGUGUAGCGGUGAAAUGCGUAGAGAUCGGGAGGAAUACCAGUGGCGAAGGCGGCAUUCUGGACUGACACUGACGCUGAGGUGCGAAAGCGUGGGUAGCAAACAGGAUUAGAUACCCCGGUAGUC
rnacentral:rRNA from 1 species